rnacentral:rRNA from 1 species
GAUGAACGCUGGCGGCGUGCCUAAUACAUGCCAGUCGAGCGAACAGACGAGGAGCUUGCUCCUCUGACGUUAGCGGCGGACGGGUGAGUAACACGUAGAUAACCUACCUAUAAGACUGGGAUAACUUCGGGAAACCGGAGCUAAUACCGGAUAAUAUAUUGAACCGCAUGGUUCAAUAGUGAAAGACGGUUUUGCUGUCACUUAUAGAUGGAUCCGCGCCGCAUUAGCUAGUUGGUAAGGUAACGGCUUACCAAGGCAACGAUGCGUAGCCGACCUGAGAGGGUGAUCGGCCACACUGGAACUGAGACACGGUCCAGACUCCUACGGGAGGCAGCAGUAGGGAAUCUUCCGCAAUGGGCGAAAGCCUGACGGAGCAACGCCGCGUGAGUGAUGAAGGUCUUCGGAUCGUAAAACUCUGUUAUUAGGGAAGAACAAAUGUGUAAGUAACUAUGCACGUCUUGACGGUACCUAAUCAGAAAGCCACGGCUAACUACGUG